AUGACUGUAACUAGUUUCCUCUUUCAACAGAACCCUUCCUUUCCUGGAUCCAGCCCCUCACAAAGGUGGGGCACAAGCUCUCUCUCCAGCACUUUUCCUUGUCUGGAGCUUAUCUCUCCUCUUCAUAACGGUGCUGAACUGGCGGAAGGAACCUCCAGGUGUCGGAGGAAAGAGGAAGAGUCUCCGAGGAGGUGGGUGAAUCUGGUACCUGUAGGUGGAGCGGAACCGGUGCUCAAUAAUGGCUCGUCUUCCAGGGACAAGGUGAGCUGUCUGUGCGAGGAGCCCAAAUCCAGCCAGCAGGACCAGGACAACAGGGCGACCAAACCGAAGACCUUGUUUCCAGGGACCAGACCAACCAAAACAAAGCCAGACCCUCCGGCUGCUGUGGCUUCAGUGGAGAUUUUAAAGAGAGUGGGACAGAGCGGCCUUAUGAUCAGCUGGGAGAGGCCACCGCUGGACGAGCUGGGCUGCAGUAACGGCACCUUUGUGAGCGGAUACAUGAUCUGUGUCAACGGCGAGUUCCGCAAAUCUGUCGUGAGCUCAGCCUGUACCAAGGUAAAAGCUGCACCCUCCGCAGCAUUUCUGAGACAUGCUGUAGCUUUUAAUUUAUUUAAAUGUAUUCAAAUUUAUUAAUACUGCAGAAACACUCACCAAGUCAAGUGAACGCUGUAAAGUUAAGCAGAUUUUUCACUUUUCAAAGGAAAGCAGAAUUAUAGCCCCUCCUCAUGCAGGAGUCCUGAUGACUUUGGAAACACGCACGCACGCACGCACGCACGCACGCACACACACACACACACACACACACACACACACGCGCGCGCACACACAUUGUGUGUCUCUGUGCCCUCAGACAGUUCUGGAGAACCUGGAUCUGUCUCUGUCGCUGCACAUCAGUGUCCAGACCUUGGGCUCUAAUGGGCUCCUUGCUGAGAAGGUGUAUGUCCUCUCCAAGGGCAUGAGUCCCCCUCCUGGAUCAGCGCCCCCCCCGCGCAUUCACCGACACCGUUGGACAGCACAGCCGGUUAGACCUGCGCGCGCACACAAACCGAAAUGGACAUGGACACCCACUCGCUGAAACAUACACAGGUGCAAAUGGUGUCAUUGUUUCCCCAUCAGUUUCACACCCACUUUCACUUCACUGCAAUAACUGAAAAUCUGUUGAAAAUC
rnacentral:lncRNA from 1 species